GGCUUAUCAUGGCGGAUCGGACAGCUCCCGGCUGCCAGCUCCGGCUGGAGUGGGUGUACGGGUACCGGGGUCACCAGUGCCGCAACAACCUGUACUACACGGCCGGCAAGGAGGUGGUCUACUUUGUGGCUGGGGUCGGGGUGGUUUACAACACCCGCGAGCACAGCCAAAAAUUCUUCUUGGGACACAACGACGACAUUAUCAGCCUUGCCUUACACCCAGAUAAAACUCUUGUUGCAACUGGCCAAGUUGGGAAGGAGCCAUACAUAUGUAUAUGGGAUUCCUAUAACGUUCAGACUGUGUCUAUUCUUAAAGAUGUCCAUACACAUGGAGUCGCCUGCCUGGCUUUCGACUCAGAUGGACAGCGUUUAGCCUCUGUGGGAUUGGAUGCCAAAAACACAGUCUGUAUUUGGGACUGGAGGAAGGGAAAACUUCUGGCCUCAGCCACGGGCCACUCCGACCGGAUUUUUGAUAUUUCCUGGGAUCCAUAUCAGCCAAACAGAGUGGUUAGCUGUGGAGUAAAACAUAUAAAGUUUUGGACACUAUGUGGAAAUGCCCUGACUGCAAAAAGGGGGAUAUUUGGCAAAACAGGGGACCUUCAGACCAUCCUUUGCCUUGCGUGUGCCAAAGAAGACAUCACCUACUCUGGUGCUCUAAAUGGUGACAUCUAUGUCUGGAAAGGGCUCAAUUUAGUUCGCACCAUUCAAGGGGCACAUAGUGCUGGAAUCUUUAGCAUGUAUGCUUGUGAAGAAGGCUUUGCCACUGGCGGACGAGAUGGCUGUAUACGAUUAUGGGACACUGAUUUCAAACCAAUAACCAAAAUUGAUCUCAGGGAGACAGAACAAGGAUAUAAAGGCCUCUCUAUCCGGAGUGUGUGCUGGAAAGCCGACCGUCUUCUAGCAGGAACCCAGGACAGUGAAAUAUUUGAAGUGAUUGUGCGAGAACGAGACAAGCCAAUGCUGAUCCUCCAAGGCCACUGUGAGGGGGAGCUCUGGGCUCUGGCUCUGCACCCCAAGAAGCCACUGGCUGUGACAGGCAGUGAUGACCGCUCUGUUAGGCUGUGGAGCCUGGCUGACCAUGCCUUGAUCGCCCGCUGUAACAUGGAGGAAGCAGUUCGUAGUGUUGCUUUCAGCCCUGAUGGAUCCCAGUUGGCCCUGGGCAUGAAGGAUGGCUCCUUCAUUGUUCUCCGAGUCAGAGAUAUGACAGAAGUGGUUCAUAUCAAAGAUCGAAAAGAAGUCAUUCAUGAAAUGAAAUUUUCUCCAGAUGGUUCUUAUCUCGCAGUGGGAUCCAAUGAUGGCCCAGUAGACGUCUAUGCUGUUGCCCAGAGGUAUAAGAAAAUUGGAGAAUGCAACAAGUCCCUUAGUUUCAUUACACACAUUGACUGGUCUUUGGAUAGUAAAUACUUGCAAACUAAUGAUGGCGCAGGAGAACGACUGUUCUACAAAAUGCCAUCUGGGAAGCCCUUAACAAGUAAGGAAGAAAUCAAGGGGAUUCCCUGGGCGUCCUGGACGUGUGUGAAAGGCCCGGAAGUGAGUGGAAUUUGGCCAAAAUACACUGACAUCAUUGACAUCAACUCAGUGGAUGCAAAUUACAACAGCUCAGUGCUGGUGUCUGGAGAUGAUUUUGGUCUGGUUAAAUUGUUUAAAUUUCCUUGUCUCAAGAAAGGAGCCAAAUUUAGAAAGUAUGUGGGCCAUUCUGCACAUGUCACAAACGUCCGCUGGUCUCAUGACUUUCAGUGGGUAUUAAGCACAGGAGGGGCUGACCACUCGGUUUUCCAGUGGAGAUUUAUUCCAGAAGGUGUCAGCAACGGCCUGCUGGAAACUGCACCCCAGGAAGGUGGCACUGAUUCCUACAGUGAAGAAUCUGAUUCGGAUUUAUCUGACGUGCCGGAGCUGGACUCUGAUAUUGAGCAAGAAACUCAAAUCAAUUAUGAUCGUCAGGUUUACAAAGAAGAUCUACCUCAGCUAAAGCAACAAAGUAAAGAGAAAAACCAUGCAGUGCCCUUCCUCAAACGAGAAAAGGCUCCCGAGGACAGCUUGAAACUCCAGUUCAUACACGGUUACAGGGGCUAUGACUGUAGAAACAACCUGUUCUACACACAAGCUGGAGAAGUGGUCUACCACAUUGCUGCCGUUGCUGUUGUGUACAACAGGCAGCAGCACUCCCAGAGGCUGUACCUGGGGCAUGAUGAUGACAUUCUCAGCCUGACCAUCCAUCCAGUGAAGGACUACGUGGCCACUGGGCAGGUUGGAAGAGAUGCUGCUGUUCAUGUGUGGGACACACAGACUCUAAAAUGUUUGUCACUAUUGAAAGGACAACAUCAGAGAGGAGUGUGUGCACUUGAUUUCUCAGCCGAUGGAAAAUGUCUGGUGUCGGUUGGUUUAGACGAUUUUCACAGUAUUGUAUUUUGGGACUGGAAAAAGGGAGAAAAGAUAGCCACAACAAGAGGACAUAAAGAUAAGAUAUUUGUGAUAAAGUGUAACCCACACCAUGUUGACAAACUGGUUACAGUUGGGAUAAAGCACAUCAAAUUCUGGCAACAAGCAGGUGGGGGCUUCAUCUCUAAAAGAGGAAUUUUUGGAAGUGUCAGAAAAUUGGAAACAAUGAUGUGUGUUUCUUACGGGCGAAUGGAAGAUCUAGUGUUCUCAGGAGCAGCGACUGGAGAUAUUUUUAUUUGGAAAGAUAUUCUACUACUGAAGACAGUGAAGGCUCAUGAUGGGCCUGUGUUUGCUAUGUAUGCACUGGACAAGGGUUUUGUAACAGGUGGAAAGGAUGGAAUCGUGGAGCUCUGGGAUGAUAUGUUUGAAAGAUGCUUGAAGACUUACGCCAUUAAAAGAGCAGCAUUGUCAACUAGCUCUAAAGGCUUGCUUUUGGAAGACAACCCUUCAAUUCGUGCCAUUACUUUGGGACAUGGACAUAUCCUGGUGGGAACAAAAAAUGGAGAAGUCCUGGAAAUUGAUAAAAGUGGCCCAAUGACGCUGCUUGUUCAGGGACACAUGGAAGGGGAGGUGUGGGGGCUGGCAGCUCACCCUCUUCUGCCCAUCUGUGCAACAGUGAGCGACGAUAAAACACUUCGCAUCUGGGAACUAUCCUCCCAGCACCGCAUGCUGGCGGUACGGAAGCUCAAAAAAGGUGGGAGAUGCUGUGCCUUCUCCCCUGAUGGGAAAGCCUUAGCAGUUGGCCUGAAUGAUGGGAGUUUCCUGGUCGUAAAUGCUGACACUGUUGAAGACAUGGUCUCCUUCCAUCACAGAAAAGAAAUGAUCUCUGAUAUUAAAUUUUCAAAAGAUACAGGAAAAUACCUUGCUGUGGCAUCCCAUGAUAACUUUGUGGAUAUUUACAAUGUACUUACGAGCAAAAGGGUUGGCAUCUGUAAAGGUGCUUCUAGCUAUAUUACACACGUUGACUGGGACUCUCGAGGGAAAUUGUUGCAAGUUAAUUCGGGUGCCAAAGAACAACUCUUCUUUGAAGCUCCAAGAGGCAAACGGCAUAUAAUAAGACCUUCAGAGAUUGAGAAGAUUGAGUGGGACACAUGGACCUGUGUCCUGGGGCCCACCUGUGAGGGGAUCUGGCCAGCACACAGUGAUGUGACCGAUGUAAAUGCUGCCAGUCUUACCAAAGACUGCUCCCUCUUAGCCACUGGGGACGAUUUUGGUUUUGUCAAGCUUUUUUCAUAUCCUGUCAAGGGCCAGCACGCAAGAUUCAAGAAGUAUGUGGGGCACAGCGCACAUGUCACCAACGUGAGAUGGCUGCACAACGACUCUGUGCUGCUCACGGUAGGCGGCGCUGACACAGCCUUGAUGAUCUGGACGAGGGAGUUUGUGGGGACCCAGGAGAGCAAGCUGGUGGACAGCGAGGAGUCAGACACUGAUGCAGAAGAGGAUGGAGGCUAUGACAGCGACGUUGCCAGAGAAAAGGCCAUUGAUUACACCACCAAGAUCUAUGCCGUGAGCAUCAGGGAAAUGGAGGGCACCAAACCACACCAGCAGAUGAAAGAAGUUUCAAUGGAAGAAAGGCAGGGAAUUGUCAAGGGAUCCAGACCACCUGUUAGCAGAGCAGCUCCCCAGCCUGAGAAACUCCAGAAGAACAAUGUCACCAAAAAGAAGAAACUGGUUGAGGAGCUGGCUCUUGACCACGUGUUUGGCUACAGAGGGUUCGACUGUCGCAAUAACCUGCAUUACCUGAAUGACGGUGCCGACAUCAUCUUCCACACAGCAGCGGCUGGUGUCGUUCAGAACCUCUCCACAGGGAGCCAGAGCUUCUACCUGGAGCACACGGAUGACAUCCUCUGCCUCACGGUGAACCAGCACCCCAAGUACAGAAAUGUGGUGGCCACCAGCCAGAUAGGUGACGUUGCGGAGACCCCAGGAACAACACCUUCCAUCCACGUCUGGGAUGCCAUGACCAAACACACUCUCUCCAUGCUGCGGUGCUCCCACUCAAAAGGGGUCAAUUACAUCAACUUCAGUGCAACCGGAAAGCUGCUGGUGUCAGUGGGCGUGGACCCUGAGCACACCAUCACCGUCUGGCGUUGGCAGGAAGGUGCCAAGGUUGCCAGCCGAGGGGGUCACCUGGAGCGCAUAUUUGUGGUGGAAUUUCGCCCGGAUUCAGACACGCAAUUUGUGUCUGUCGGAGUCAAGCAUAUGAAGUUCUGGACCCUGGCAGGCAGCGCCUUGCUUUACAAGAAAGGGGUCAUCGGGUCCAUGGAGGCUGCCAAGAUGCAGACGAUGCUCUCCGUGGCCUUCGGUGCUAACAACCUCACUUUCACGGGUGCCAUCAAUGGAGAUGUCUACGUGUGGAAGGACCACUUCCUCAUCCGGCUGGUGGCCAAGGCUCACACGGGCCCCGUCUUCACAAUGUACACGACCCUUCGGGACGGACUCAUAGUGACCGGCGGGAAAGAGCGGCCGACCAAAGAAGGAGGUGCUGUGAAACUGUGGGACCAGGAGAUGAAGCGCUGCAGAGCCUUCCAGCUGGAGACGGGGCAGCUGGUGGAGAGCGUGCGCUCCGUGUGCCGUGGCAAAGGAAAAAUCUUAGUGGGAACCAAAGAUGGAGAAAUAAUUGAAGUUGGUGAAAAAAAUGCAGCGUCUAACAUCCUGAUUGAUGGACACAUGGAAGGGGAGAUUUGGGGCCUGGCCACACACCCCUCCAAGGACAUCUUCAUCUCUGCCAGUAACGAUGGCACAGCCCGCAUCUGGGACCUGGCUGACAAGAAGCUGCUAAACAAGGUGAACCUGGGCCACGCGGCCAGGUGUGCAGCCUACAGCCCUGAUGGGGAGAUGGUGGCCAUUGGCAUGAAGAAUGGAGAGUUUGUCAUCUUGUUGGUGAACAGCCUGAAAGUUUGGGGGAAAAAACGAGACCGGAAAUCUGCUAUCCAAGAUAUCAGAAUCAGCCCCGACAGCAGAUUCUUAGCCAUUGGUUCUUCUGAACACACAGUUGACUUCUAUGACCUCACUCAGGGUACAAGCCUGAAUCGCAUUGGUUACUGCAAAGAUAUCCCAAGCUUUGUCAUUCAGAUGGAUUUUUCUGCGGAUGGCAAAUACAUCCAGGUGUCAACAGGAGCCUACAAGCGCCAGGUGCAUGAGGUGCCCCUGGGGAAGCAAGUAACCGAAGCCGCGGUCAUUGAGAAGAUCACCUGGGCCUCCUGGACAAGCAUUCUGGGAGAUGAAGUCAUUGGCAUCUGGCCGCGGAAUGCAGACAAGGCUGAUGUCAACUGCGCAUGUGUGACCCAUGCUGGCCUGAAUAUUGUCACAGGAGAUGACUUUGGGCUGGUGAAGCUCUUUGACUUUCCAUGCACAGAAAAAUUUGCCAAACAUAAGCGUUACUUUGGUCACUCGGCUCACGUGACGAACAUCCGUUUCUCUCAUGACGACAAGUAUGUGGUCAGCACUGGAGGGGAUGACUGCAGUGUAUUUGUGUGGCGAUGUCUGUAAAUGCCAGAAACCUCUUACUUUACUGCUGCUCCCACCCAGCAACUGCCGAGGCGCCCCCUCGUCACCAGCUGCUGGGAAACGCCUCCCACGCCACAGGCUGCACAAGCUCCUCGUGCUGGUGAAGGGGUAAGACAGCUCCUGUGCUUGGGAGUCUCCGAAACUGUGAUGCCAAGAAGGAAGAAGAGGAAACCGAGAUGCAGAAAGAUGAAGCAGGUUGCCAGACCGGUCACAGUGAUCUCAGGUGUAUCUCGCUCCAGAAUCUAUCUGCUCUGCUGUACUACAGAACCACCUACCGAGGAACCAUUACCGAGAAUCCAUCACAAAUGUGUAUGCUAUCACAGAGGCAGAAAAAAGGUUAAUAAACACUUCUAAAAAAAUACAAAACGGCAGCUCUCACUUGGGACCUACAAAUUCUAUGCUAUUCCAUGGCAAAUACUUUGCAGCAUUAGGGCCAAUGCAAAUUACCGGAAGUCAAAGCUCCCAUCUGAGGCUGGAGGAAAGCGGGCCAAAGGGCAUGAGGUCUCAUAAAUACCGGAAGAGGGCAAGGGCCAUGUCUUGUUUGUUUUCUGUCCAGGGGAAUAAGGAAUUAAAUUUAACUGUGCAGAUUUUCGUUAGAUGAUGUCUCUGUGGGGGCAGAGGCCAUUUCUAAAGAAAAUGGAGGGAGGGUGUUUAACAGAACUUCCAAAAUUACUUGGGCAAUUCUGACAUUUUCAAACUUUUUCUGCAUUUUUAAACACUGAAAAGUAUUUGACCUUUUUUUGACAUCUUCAGCCUCAUUCAUUAAUAUCACUUCGACUAUCUCUACAUUUUCCUCAGCCCACUUCCCUUCUAAGUUUUCUGUGAGCCAAAGAAACCAGAAAGGAAACUGUCAAAGUGUGUAUGUUAAUAACCUCAUAAGCACCUGAGGGCUAGAUUUUAAUGUUCUUUUGGGUCAGCUAUUUCUGGAGUUCAGGCCUUUUUUUUGGUUCACUCUCAGAUUUAACGCUGUAUUCUAGAACAUGAUAGUUACCUGAUCAUCAGGCAACUAUAGGCAACUAUAGGUAGAAAUUUUCUUAUAAACAAUUUUUACAUUUUCACUGAAAAUCACAGAACUACUAUCAUACAGAAUCUACUCUUUAUCACCCAAAGCCAUGUGAGAAAAAAAGAACAUUUGCCCAAAACACCUGGUCUUAGUAUCUAGUAGAUGACAUUUUUAGAAUUUUUCUUAGGAUUUGAGGUUUCAAAAGACAGGAGGAACCUUUAGUAAGACUCAAGAGCUUUAAGAAGCCCCAAAGCUGAGCCCAGCAGAGACUGUCAUAUGCUUUUCUUUAUUAUCAUAGGAGGAGAGUGGGAGUGGGGAGAAAUGAUAGCCCAGAUUUUAUAGCUUAAUGCUGCAACUUUUAAAAAGCGUGAUUUCUCCAGAGAAAUUAACACAGUUUCAGGGGAUAGUGUCCCCUCUGCUCCCCCGUCCCAGGUAUCAGUAAAAUUUUAUAGCUCCCCGGGUGGUUCCAAUGUGCAGCCAAGACCGAGGACCACUGUUUUUAAAACAAGAGCCCCUAUCCAAGAUCCCUUACACAGAGGCCAAUCACAGAAAUAGAAUUAAACCUUAACAAGGUGGUUUAAGUUUAUUCAACUAUCUUAUACUAGUUUUCCGGUGGCAAUGGGUGUUAUUUAAACAAGUUGACAAAUACUAGGUCAAAUAAAGUUAUCCAGCCUUCUUCUGACUUCUCAGGUACUAAUAAACUGACAUUAGGCUCUCCAAGAAAAGCAUUCAUACACAGCUUUUGUAACUUAAUUUUACUAGAGAACCUCCUUCUUUUACUUCCCUUUCAUUCAUUUUCUUCCCCCAACCGUAACUCUGGCAUUGGAUGGAACAAACUCACUUUACAAAAUGUAAUAUUUAAAACAAAGCCUGAGGAUUGGUCAAAUAUUUGGCUGAGGUAAAAUUCUAUACUAAAGUUUGAAUUAAGUUCUCAAAAAUGGAAUUCAGAAUAUACUGUCAGUCAUUUUGCCCAUAAUAUUUCACUAGAAUUAAUCCUUUGGGAAAUGGGUAGGUGCUCAACCUAUGGACACCUGAAAUCUUCUCUAGGACUUAGAUGUAGUUAACUGCAAAGGAGCAAAACAAAUGGAAUGAGUACACAGAAUUUAAAAGGAGAAAUCUGCAGAACACAUUUGUCCAAGUCAACCACCAGAAGGAAACCUAAACCCAGCACAAUGAUUACCACCAUCUCACAUCAGGUCUUUCUCAUAAGGCCUAACGAACCUUGGAGUUUGGUUAUUUCUUUGAUCAUAUCUGAAAGAAUAGGCUCCUCCCACACACCGCCCCACAAAAGGUAAUAAGCAAGGAGAAGUUUCACAUAUUAACAAUAGUGGCUCUAAAAUGUUCAAUUUCUCAGGAAGAAGGUUUCAAAUAGAAGUAGUGGUAAUUGUGACCCAGAAUCUAGAAAUGUGGAUUAUAUAAAUUUGAGGGCACCAAACAUUUAUGAAGACAAUGAGUUAUAGAGAAAUCGCUUUAAAAUUUUAGUUUAAAGGCUAUUAUUUUUAAAUGAGUUACAGAGACUGAUAUGUCUGCUUUCUAAAUGAAAAAAAAAAAAAAAAAGGAGACUUAAUUCCCACUGCAUGAAUUCUUGAAAUUAGGGUAAUUUCCAUUUUUCUAACUAUGAAUCAUACAAAAUUAAAGUAAUUCCAAUUAAAAACUGGUUCCUAUAAAAUUAAAACUCAGUGUUCCACAAAUUCAUCUGAAAGCUGGAGAGAUUAGGGCUAUUUAUUGGCAAACUUUCCAGAUUUAAAAUCUGAAUAUAAGGAAAUAAAAUAAAUCAGUCUAACAAGGCAAAUUGAUUUUUCCUUUACAUUGAAAAGGUAGGGAGGAAAAAGAGAAUUAAGAAAACCAUUUUUUUGCUUACUUUAGGGAGAGAGAAUAUAAUAAGACUCUCCUAACUCUGCUGUGGCUAAAAGGCAAAAAGUAAUAAAGUCAGAAGAAAACAUCAUUCUCUUUUAAAAAAUACUAUCUAUACAGACAAAAACUGUGAGGGGUUAAGAGCAGCAAAUGCUCAAGGAACUCUCUAGAAAGGAAAUACUGUUAAGUCUUUUUUAAAAAGAGCCAAGAAUGUCAAGUUUUAUCAGCUUUUUUCAAUAAGAGACGUUUUAAGCAAAUAUGCUGUGUUCUAGAGUACCCUUAAUCUGUGGAAACAAACACAUGGACUCUGUACUAUAAAUACACAAUGACAUUAAGAAAAGAUUUAACUAAAGGCCCCGCAUGUAGCAGAACCACAAGGUUUAUCAGUGUGCGUUACCGUGUGUGUGUUACCAGUGUGCGCACCUGAAUCGCCCAGCGCCUCGGACCCAGCGCCUCUGCAUCUGGAGAAAAGGAUCCCCACCUGCCUUAUUCUUUUUCCCCAACCAGUUUUGAUACCUAAAUGCAGAGUUCCUUCUAAGUGCUAACAUGUUGAAACAACUGUUACUUAUUUAGAGCCCUGAAAGAACUGCCUUCUGGGGAAGUCACCAACCAGCUAUCCUUGAGCUCUGCAGUCAACAACCAGCUAUCCUUGAGCUCUGCACUUUCCAAAAAACAUUCCUCAGGAAAGCCAUUCAUAUAAAUUUUCUACUUUUUCUUUUCAAAAGCACUGCUAAUACUUAAGGAGAAAAAGUAGUAAAUCAAAAUUUUAACGCAAGCCUUUCCCCCCCCAAUAUUAAGAAACAAAGAAUGUUUUAAAAAUAUAAGAAAACUUCAUAAAAAUAAAGCGUUCCAGAAAGUACAUCUAUCUCAUUCCGCUACUUUCAAAUCUCAUUCCGCUACUUUCAAAUUAGCAAAGUUACUCAAGGCAAGAAUUUAUCAAGUUCAGUUUUUCUCAUUUAUGUUAGCAUCCUCAUGAAUAACAUAAUUGCUUAAAAAAACCCUAUAAAAACUAAGGUAAUUUCCAAAACAAAUUUAAAAAUGAGAUUUAACAGCAAAAAGGAAUUCUUUAUAUCAUAAAAGUAAUUUAUUCAUAAAAUUGCCUACUAUCCUACUUUCAAACAUCUGUAUAAAACAUUUAAAAGGUUUCUAAAGUAUUUAAUCAGGCCUCCUCUAUUUUCUCACUCCUCUAGCCUUCAUUUCCACACCUAUAUCACUGUCUACACAUAGGACUGUGUAUAUCGAUGACAGUAAAUUCUGAAAGAACAAAUAAGUUUUCUUUUGAUUAAAGGCAAGUGGAAACCUUAAACUCAAACUUGUAAAAACUGGAACAUAAGGAAUGAUUCCCAGAUCAAUUUGUUUUUUAUUUUAUUUUUAAACAGAUUUCUUCCAAGAAUGCCUCUUGUCUCAAGAAAAAUGUUAAAUUACAGGCAUACACAGCUGCCUUCAUAGCUAUACUAUGCAAACAUGAAGGAUAACAUUUGGUUUAUAUCUAUUGCAAUUUUUAUUAAGUCCACAAAAACAGUGACUCUCUUCUGUCAAGCUUCAUGUUGCCUGUACUUGAAGUCACCUCAACACCAAUUUUUGACUGCUAAAUUCAGAGAUGGUUCUUUCUUGUUUGAAGCUCUGUAUCAUUUAUAGUGUUUCUUCACAAUUUCCACCCACAAACCCUUCAUCUUAAACUGCACUCGUCCUUUCUCCUCAAUAAUUCUUUAUACAUGCUCUACACCCCAAGUCAAGCUAUAUACAUAGCAAUUAUCACGUCAGUGAAUAGGAACUGGUUUCUUCUAGGACCCAUAUGUCAAAGAUUCUAUUUCAUUUACUCCAAAAUAUUUUUGUUUCCUUUAGAAACCAAUUAAUCAAACAUCACAAAUAACAUAACCAUGAUCUUUUUAUUUACAGACUGUCCUUAAAGCACAGAAUCAAUCACUAAAUGCAAGCACUCUAUACAAAAGAGAUAAUAAGGAAACUAAAUUGUUUACCAUUAAUGUAUUAGUAACUAAUUGGGGUUCCAAGUCUUAAACUGAGAAAAACACACAGCUGAAAAUAGAGUCCAUCUACUGGCUUAUUAAGGUUAAGAUGUUUGUUAAAAAAAGUUUGGGCAUUUAAACCUAUUCUGAUCAGUUCAGAAAUUGUUUCACUGGAUCUAAAGGCCCAAUCAUCCUAUUGCUAUGAUAUCCUUGGCUUGCGUGAUAAAUUGUAAACCAGUGCAUUACUCUCGGAAAAGAAAACUUAUGAUAAUCACUACCAUAGUGCAUUUCUACACAGGCUUAGACUGGAAACAAGUCUGUCUGAAGCAGGCAAUCACACAAAAAACAUGAAUGGCAAGUUCUACAUAAAGGAAAAGCACUAAAGUCCCAAAGUCCAAGUGCUUGGGCUCAUGUUACAUGAUUGUUUAGUGGCUUGAGUCCGUCUGAACAACAGCUGCUAUGUCGCAAGAUCCAAAAAGUAAAGAAAAACUUCCAACAAUUACUUACUGAAGAUUAGGUGAGGUGUUUCGGAAUAUCAAAGCUUUAACAGAAUAAACAUGCUAAGAAAGAGUCCAAGAUAUGAAAUAGCUUAUGUGUGUAUAUGAAUCACACACAAGGUAAGAAAUUAAGUGCUAGGCUCUACAACAAAGUCGAACAGGUUAAAUCAUAUCUGGUACUUAAUCUAUUGGACAAUCUUUUUACUCUUAUUGUAAAAAUUUCCUUUAAUUUUCUCACUUUUAAUUUUUAUGAUUUC